UCCAGCCGCCCCGGGGCAACUCAUUUUCUGCAGAGCGUCUUGUAGGACUGGGGGCCAGUCAGGGAGGCGCGCUGUGGGAAUAUGGCAGAGGGCCUUUGUGACACACGUCUGUCAUGACUUGAAGGUGUCGUGGUGAAGGUGUGCCUGCACGGACCCGCUCGCAGCCGAGGAAAUAAAGAGCAGGGAUGAGCAAUGAGCCGGCUGCCUGGGGUGGAGCCCUCCCAGACCAUCGUGUUGUUGCUGUUUUCUGUGACUUCCAGUAGCAGAGACCAUGCCAUGCACCUGAUCUCUACCUGGCCCUGUGGUCUCCUUGCCUCUUUGAUUCUGGUGUGGCUGGCUGCGUGAGGAACCCACCAGAUCAGGCUGAGUCCAGGCAGUCGUUAGGAUCAGCUUUCCCUCAGAACAGAUGGAGCCAGAGGUAUGGUGGUCUUAAUCUCUACUCUCUCCUUCCUGUGACGGGUGACCUUCAGUUGAGGCACAGUCCCCCAGUAAUAGCCAGUUAGAAACAGCAGGGUGUGUAGACUCACGCCGCUGUCGCUAGCUCCCUGUUCUGCAAACUUCUCCACUGCUCCCCUCUGUGACCUUGAGCAAAUCACAACCUGAGCCUGUCAUCUCAUCUGUGAAACCUGCAAGGCUCCCCCCGUCUAAUUACAGUUCCUAAUUGUACAGAAUCACAAUUCGCUUGGCGCGAAGCAAGCUUUGCUGACCUUUUCCCAUGACUGGCCAUUCUUGGGCCUGCAGUGGGGGUGGUGAGCAAAUUCUGUUCCUCCCUCACGCUGUGUGCAAGUCUCCGCCCGUUUGCUCCCCCUUGGGGAACAUUGCGAAACGCUCAGACCACCUAUAAGAGGUUGUCUUCGAGCCCAGGUUUCCGGACAAAAGGCCCAUGAGGGGCUCGAGGUCGUGUGGAGACAGAGGGCAUGUUUGCAGCUGUGGCCGCUGAGCCAAGAAGAGCGGUCCUCGUGCCUCGUGGCCUGAUUGAACCCGCUCAUCUGGCGUCCUGUGCCUGGUCUGAGAGAUGUCUACACUGGCAGGGCUGCCAGGCCAGGGCUUCCGGAAUUGGAAUGUGCCCCUGAGCCACCUGCUGGUCUUGUUAAAAUGUCCAUUCUGCUUCAGUCUGUCUGGCAUCGAUGGGUUGGGCAGAUGAUGGGCCCCCAGAAUGUCCACGUCCUAAUCCCCGGAACCUCUGACUGUGGUGGGUGAUAGGCUGGGGAGGAUAAAGGCUGCUAGUCAGCUGACCUGGAGAUGGGAGAUGAUCCUGGCCCAUCCAGGUGGGCCCAGUGGAGGUCUGACGGAUGCAAUGUGAGACGGAACCAGCUGCUUCUGCUGGCCUUGAAAAGGGAACCGGGGAGCUUUGAGGCAAGGAAUGCAGGUGCCUUCUAGAAGCUGGAGCAAGCAAGAAAACGGAUCUUCCUCUAGAGCCUCCAGGGUGACAUAGCCCUGCCAACAUCUUGCUUCUAGCCCCAGGAGACCUGUUUCAGACUUCUGCCCUCAGCCACUGUGAGGUCAUACUUCCGCGUUGUUUUGAGUUACUAAGUGUGUGGUCAGCUGUUACAGCAGCAAUAGGAAACUGAUACAGGUUGCAUUUCUGACAAGCUCCCGGGUGAUACUGAGGCUUGAGGCUGUCUGAGUAUGGCACUUACACCUGAGUGACCUGGGUGACAGCUUGAAGAGCUUGUGUGCUUCAUGUGAGCCCUGGCAGCUGCCGGAAACAGUUUCUGGUCUUGAAGCUCACCUCGGUGAGAGCAGCAUGGGCUGAGAACACGGGAGCUGACUUCAGGUGUAACGGGAGGGCUGCAGGCUAGACCGCAAAGGAACAGCUCCCCGCUGACAGAAUGCUUGGAGAGACCCCAGGGAGAGCCCCGUGGCGACCACAGCACCGGCCUCCAGGUUACCCCAAGCACAUGAGGCUGGAGAAGGUUCUGGAGUGUCUUCAAGCGGUUCAAGGCUUCUGCCAGAAACAAUUGGGAAAACAGAAUGCAGCCCAGGAUCGAAAGAAUCUAUCCAUUCCUCUGGAAUUCUCCAUCUGUCCGGCUGGGCCCCAUAUUAACAUUUGAGUAAUUCCCUAAUGUGAAGUCGCCAGGCUUUAAAAAUAGUGCAGGCAGGCUUGAGUUUGCUAGUGGUUUCUCGCCUUCAAAUGUUGGCCUCAAGCCCUCUGUCCCCCUUGAACAUUCUCCACACCCCUGCCUAUCAUAAUUCCCUUGCCUGUCCUAAUUCAACCCAUUCAUUUAUAUGUACAGUGUUUGUCACCCCCCUUCUCUGUGCUGGACAUUGGUGGGUCUUGGGGUCGGUGGUGAGCAAAAUAGCUGUCACCAUCAUGAAACUCAGUCUGUGAAGAGGCAGGCCAAUUAAAAUCGGGUUAUUAGUGAUGGUUUCUAUAAAGCAGUGCUUCUCUGCUAUCUGUGAGCAAAGACCUAUUAUUUUUCAUUUCCCAUCAAACAUGGUCCUACUGUGCAUGAUUUGUGUGUAGUUUGUAUUGUGAGUUGGAUGAUACUUCACCCUGUCUAAUGAGAUGGGUCCACCCAUCUCCUGCUUGGAUGCCCUAUAAUAAAAGUUUCUAAACCCUCAAA